AUUGAACGCUGGCGGCAGGCCUAACACAUGCAAGUCGAGCGGAGCGGCGGACGGGUGAGUAAUGCCUAGGAAUCUGCCUGGUAGUGGGGGAUAACGUCCGGAAACGGGCGCUAAUACCGCAUACUAUCAGAUGAGCCUAGGUCGGAUUAGCUAGUUGGUGGGGUAAAGGCCUACCAAGGCGACGCUCCGUAACUGGUCUGAGAGGAUGAUCAGUCACACUGGAACUGAGAAAGGAUCCAGAUUCCUAGGGGAGGCAGCAGUGGGUAAUAUUGAACAAUGGGCGCAAGCCUGAUGCAGCCAGGCCGCGUGUAUGAAGAAGGCCUUCGGGUUGUAAAGUACUUUCAGCGGUGAGGCGUUACCCGAUGAAGAAGCACCGGCUAACGCCGUGCCAGCAGCCGCGGUAAUAC
rnacentral:rRNA from 1 species